AAGAAGAAGAAAAGGCAGCAGCAGCAAACGCAACAAUGCAAAGGUGGUGGUGCUACAACGGUGGUGGUGGUGCAGCCACAAAGAGAGAACCAGAGAGAGAGCCGCAUUUGUUGUUGAGGCGCAGUAUAUGGCUGAUUUUUUUCAAAAAGGCAUUUCACCCGUUUGGGGCCAAACACACACACGCACACAAGCACAGCGAGCAUUUGGCGGGCAAUCGAGAGAGAGCAAGAGAGAGCGCAAAAGCUGCGCAGAGUAAAUAUAUGGUGAAUGGAAACCGUCUAGAGGAUCAUCCUGCUCCAACUAAUUAAAACACCCCAUCGAACCAACAGCUGCCCCCUUUUAGCAUUUGUAAACAAAUAUUGGAGCACUGUACAGCCGCACAAAAGCUUUAGCCAUCUCUCCUUCUGCCACCACCAACUAUCCUUCAAAAAAAAAGCAAGAAGAAGCACGGCAAACGUUUUGUGUAAAUUCAAAACCGAAUGAAAAACAGGCAAUGCAAGAACAACAAACGACGGAUGGGGAGCCAGGAGGCGGAGGCGAGAGGAAGAAAGAUGUGAACAAAAAGAGGGCCACAAAAUGAUGCUCUCAUUGGGGAGCCAUUUAAAUGCACACUCACACCAACGCACUACACUGGGCUGGCUGGCUCUCGCCAGUACAUGCGAAUGGCGCAUCAAAGCAAAAGUCGAGAUAAGCGCACGAACUGAGCAAAGAACGACGAAUCAACGAACGAAAAUAAAACGACACUACGUUGAAAAAAUACAGUCAGUUCAUAAGCAAGCCAAAAGCAAUGGUUCAAAGCGUGUGUAUGUGUGCGGCUCUCCUCUCCACCCUCGUUCGAGUGUGUGUGAGCUGAGAAGCAGCAGCAGCAGAGCAGCAGCAACACAAACAACAACCACGUCGCCGUCGACGACUUUUUGUCUGUGCGCCUUCUAUAUGUAUUCGCUAUGCCAUUGUAUAUGGGUUUGUUUUUCAGUGGCACGAACACGAAUGUUGUUUGAAUCCGAGUCCGCACACCAAGUGCACUUGAAGGAUAAUGUCCCUCUGCACUUUCCACGCCCCCAACCGCCCACCGCCCCUAU